rnacentral:rRNA from 1 species
UCGCUUGAUUCCCCGAACCUGCCGAAAGGGGUGAGUGCCCGCAGGGUAGCGCGGACACAGGUGGUGCAUGGCUGGCCUCGCCUCUCGUCGAGUGAUGUUGGGUCCAGUCCCGCGGCGACCACAACCCUACUCCCUUGUUGCCUGAGGUUAUGCUGGGCACUCUGCUACAACUGCCCCGGUCAACGGGGAGGAAGGCGGGGAUUACAUCAAGUGUGUUGCCCCUUACGUCCUGGGCUACACGACUGCUACUCUGCCCGGUACUCAUGGAUGCUAGACCGCGAGGUGGAGCUAAACCCAAAAAGCCGGUCUAAGUUCAUAUUGGAGUCUGCUGCUCUACUCCCUGAACGAAGAAUCGCUUGUAAUCACGUAUCAUCACGACGCGCUGAAUACAUUCCCGGGCCUUGUACCCACCGCCCAUCACACCGUUAAAGCGUUCUGGACUCGAAGUCCCUGAU